GUGAAUCAUCAAAUUUUUGAACGCAAAUUGCACUCUCUUCGAAGAGUAUGACUGUUUGAGGGUCAGAAUUAAUAAAUAUCGGCGUGUUGCUCUUUUGUGAUGUUCUGGAGUUUGGGUCAUCUUAUAACAACACUUUUUCAGGGUAUUUUUAAGAGGCUUAGAAUUGACCUUUUUCGUGCAUUUUAGACGUACAUACAUUUUUUUAUAUUUGUCUAUCUUAAUGCAAAAUUUCUACUAG
rnacentral:misc_RNA from 1 species